UGAGGGUGCACUGACAAUGAAUGAUUAUAAACUCCGCCAGGUCCGGAAGGAAGCAACGGUAAUAAUUUUUUCAGGUGUUGGCUGUUAUUCUCGGCA
rnacentral:SRP_RNA from 1 species